GAGAUACUAAGACAAAUUGCUAAGUCUAAAGACUUAAUUCCUGUUUAAGUUUUGAUUGUUUGAAUUAGAACUUCUCUGCUGUGAUAUGCAGGCAUCUGUGAUGGUCUUCAUCUGUCCGUGUUUAGACAACUAAAUUUUCUACAGCCUAGAGGCACACAUUGGGACUGACCACCUAGUCAACAGCAAGAAAACAGUAUUAUUGAAGUACAGUGACUCAUACAAGGGUAAAAAGAACAAAAUGAUGGAGCUGACAAGAGUCCCAUGCAGCAAACAGAGAAACAGUCUUAUCGCAUCGUUGUUUUUGAUGGACCAUUGGUCUAGUCUUUAAACCUUAUACCUUGUCUGUUAUGGAAUCAAAUAAAAUAAGGAGCUAGGUACUAGCA
rnacentral:lncRNA from 1 species